rfam:Tupaia chinensis contig173168, whole genome shotgun sequence.
CCAAAGGCCCUUUUCAGGGCCCCCAUCUUGUCACCGAGGAGCCGUG